UUUCCGUAGGUGAACCUGCGGAAGGAUCAUUACAGAGUUCAUGCCCCCACGGGUAGAUCUCCCACCCUUGAAUAUUUAUACCUUAGUUGCUUUGGCAGGCCGUGGAAACACCAUGGGCUCCGGCUUAUGCGUGCCUGCCAGAGGAAACAAACUCUGUUUUUAGUGAUGUCUGAGUACUAUAUAAUAGUUAAAACUUUCAACAACGGAUCUCUUGGUUCUG
rnacentral:misc_RNA from 1 species